CUUGGCACUAGGAGCCGAUGAAGGACGGGACGAACACCGAUAUGCUUCGGGGAGCUGUAAGCAAGCUUUGAUCCGGAGAUUUCCGAAUGGGGAAACCCACUGCUCGUAAUGGAGCAGUAUCCAUAUCUGAAUUCAUAGGAUAUGAGAAGGCAGACCCGGGGAACUGAAACAUCUAAGUACCCGGAGGAAGAGAAAGCAAAUGCGAUUCCCUGAGUAGCGGCGAGCGAAACGGGAACAGCCCAAACCAAGAGGCUUGCCUCUUGGGGUUGUAGGACACUCUGUACGGAGUUACAAAGGAACGAGGUAGAUGAAGAGGUCUGGAAAGGCCCGCCAUAGGAGGUAACAGCCCUGUAGUCAAAACUUCGUUCUCUCCUGAGUGGAUCCUGAGUACGGCGGAACACGUGAAAUUCCGUCGGAAUCCGGGAGGACCAUCUCCCAAGGCUAAAUACUCCCUAGUGACCGAUAGUGAACCAGUACCGUGAGGGAAAGGUGAAAAGCACCCCGGAAGGGGAGUGAAAGAGAUCCUGAAACCGUGUGCCUACAAGUAGUCAGAGCCCGUUAACGGGUGAUGGCGUGCCUUUUGUAGAAUGAACCGGCGAGUUACGAUCCCGUGCAAGGUUAAGUUUGAAAAGACGGAGCCGCAGCGAAAGCGAGUCUGAAUAGGGCGCAUGAGUACGUGGUCGUAGACCCGAAACCAGGUGAUCUACCCAUGUCCAGGGUGAAGUUCAGGUAACACUGAAUGGAGGCCCGAACCCACGCACGUUGAAAAGUGCGGGGAUGAGGUGUGGGUAGGGGUGAAAUGCCAAUCGAACCUGGAGAUAGCUGGUUCUCUCCGAAAUAGCUUUAGGGCUAGCCUCAAGGUAAGAGUCUUGGAGGUAGAGCACUGAUUGGACUAGGGGCCC
rnacentral:rRNA from 2 species